GUAUAAAAUAAAAUAAAAUGAAAUCAAAGACCAAAAAAAUAAAUUUAGUCUAAACAAAGACGACGGGGCAGGUGGGAAGACUCGAGUAGACACAUGGAUGAGUGUGGUAGCAAAAAGCUUACCGGCCGCGGUUUAGCGAAGAAAGAAAUGAAGGCCUACACUAACUUUAGAAGGAGAGGGGGAUGAGUGUGUGUUCAAUUUUAAGAAUUUAAUUUUUGUAUUUUAGAUUCUAUUAAUUCUAGUAUUAUUUAAAUUCUUGAUUAACAAAUUUUAUUAAAUGCUAGUGUUAUUCAAUAUUAGGAUUAAUAAAGAAAAAAUCCCACUCAAGAUUGUGAAUAAAAAAUUCCAGGAAUUCAUGCAAAGAUUUGGUUAGAAUUAAUUCAAUUCCUUAAAAUCUACUUUUGAUCCUCUUAAUUCUUUAAAAUUUCUUAACUGAAUACUACAAUUACAAUUGAGAAGUCGUAAGUUUCAAUUGGUACGAAAUGUACUCAAAACUUAUCAAUUCGAAAUGAACAUCAUCAUGUAGCAAAAUUGAAGCAAUAUAUAUGUGGAUCUACUGAUACUAAGCAAAAAAUCAAGUAUUCUCUUUCUCGAUGAACUAAUUUAUCAGUCGUAGCCUAGCGAAGAAAGAUUUCACUAACAUUUUGAAAAAAUAAAAUUGAGAGAGAAUUGCAACAGAAAAUUAUGGUUAAUGACUGAAAAUAUAAAGAACUUAUAUUCCAGUAGCUCUAGAAUUUGACAAAAUUGCAACGGAAAAUACUCAAACUUUU
rnacentral:sRNA from 1 species